rnacentral:rRNA from 1 species
UGGGGAAUUUUGCACAAUGGGGGAAACCCUGAUGCAGCGACGCCGCGUGAUUUAGAAGGCCUUCGGGUUGUAAAAAUCUUUUGUAUGGGAAGAAAAUGACAGUACCAUACGAAUAAGGACCGGCUAAUUACGUGCCAGCAGCCGCGGUAAUACGUAAGGUCCGAGCGUUGUCCGGAAUCAUUGGGCGUAAAGGGUACGUAGGCGGAUAAGCAAGUUAGAAGUGAAAUCCUAUAGCUCAACUAUAGUAAGCUUUUAAAACUGCUCAUCUUGAGGUACGGAAGGGAAAGUGGAAUUCCUAGUGUAGCGGUGAAAUGCGCAGAUAUUAGGAGGAAUACCGGUGGCGAAGGCGACUUUCUGGCCAUAUACUGACGCUGAGGUACGAAAGCGUGGGUAGCAAACAGG